GGAAGUCCGUCUGACUAUACGGUCUUGUUUUCGCUGAAACUUUUUCUUGAUAAACAUCAAAGACUUCCUCUCAUCCCUGUGUGGCCUGCGUUUCUUCUGCUCCUCGUCAGAUGGUGGAUCUACACAGGCUCAUGAAGGACAUCUGCCAAAAGUUUAUUUGUGUGUGUGUGCACAGAGAGCCGUUGUGUCAUUGUUGGCUGACGGAUAACGAGGGCAGCCAGCGCGUGACUCAGCCAAUGUUCUCUGAGCCACUUUUCAAACAGAUGCUUACCCAGUUUUCAGUGAGAUGUAUUCAAGUAUGGAUUACUGACUGAACAGACCUACUGGGCUGCUAUCCCGAUAUUUCCACCACUUCAUCCUGAUAUUUUAAUGGGGCUCUUAAUAGUUGCAGUGCAGCGUUCCUCAUGGCCCAGCAGCGAGAGCUGAGCAGAGUGAGGGACAGGAUGGC